UAUUUAAUAAUAAGUUUCAGAGAAGAAAGAAGGGCAGAACCAUUCAAGGAAGUGGUAAGGUAUGACUUAGUAAAAUUUUCCUCUCAUAUAGGAAAAGCAGGUUGUAAAAAAUCUCCCCUUUUGACCUUAGGAAGUGUAGGAAAGAAAACACAAAAUUUUGAGGAAGCAAUUGAUGAAACAUAUGUGUCUUGAUCAUUUCUUCCUUCACUAAAGUCUGCUUGGGUGUUAGAGACCACUGCACAAGUUACCUCUGAACCAAAUCAUGGAGGGCAAAUUUUUCAGCAAGAGCGGAGGAAUGGGCUUUGAUAGCAGAACCUAAGAUUCAUCAUGAUGUUUAUAUCUAAACUUCCUACAGGCCCCAAGCCGUCAUACGGAUGGCGGUUGAUCAUCUGCCGAAAGAGCCCUAUAUCCAUGUACCUAUGGUAGACAGGAUUCUAUGAUAGGACCCCUAGCGAGUCAUGCCUCUGCAUAGUACCCUGCCCAUGAGUGUGGAUGGAGCCUGAAAUUUGCUUUUAGACAGUAGAGGGUGGUAAAGGUGAUGAG
rnacentral:lncRNA from 1 species